UAUUACUAUAGAUUUGAAUAUUGUUAGUUUUGUUUAUUAUUGUGAGAGUGUUAAUUUGCAUAAUAAUCUCUGGCUGACAUAAGCGACAGUUCUAUGCCCUAACGUCGCUAGGAAAUCGUGAAAUAAAUAUAAGUAAAUAUAAUUGAUAAAGUCGCCUUGGAGAAUUGGUAACCUUGAAUGGCCCACAAAGUGAUAAGAUGGACUAUUAACGAAUAAACAGCAACCAAAAAAAAAAAUCAAAUCAAACACAAGAUGCUCCUGAAAACACACGGAACUGUGCUGGGAGAGUGAGAUUGAGAGUGACGAAACCAAAAAAACCGGAGGGAAGCUGAUAACUGUGAGAACUUAGUCGCCUUAUAAGUUGCAUCGUUUCCAUCUAUUCACUCAGACAACACUCACGAUGCGGCGCUGGAACCUGGAUAUUUUUUUCUGCCUAGCUGUUGUGCUUAUGUUCAAUAGUCAAGCGUUUGGCUACCAAUCUUUACAAUAUCGCGGCCAUACCAAGCAUCCGAGUUUACCGAAUCACUGUUAUUAUGAGGAACUGGAGUUGGAUGUACCGAUGAACGAGACCGUCUAUCCGGUAGAUCAACACGGUUACUGUGUCCAUGUGUCUUGUGAAGAGGAUUAUUUGCUCUUGAUCAAGCACUGUGAACACCAGAAUUUGCAAAGCGGUUGUUUCUUUGCCCCCUACGACUAUUCGAAACCCUAUCCACAUUGCUGUGAAAAACACAUUUGCCCAACCACUACCGACUGUGAAAAGGUUAUCGCUGAUUGUUACCUUCCAUUGAUUAGACACUGAGGAGAGAGUUCAGUUGAGCUGAGCUUCUGGCUGUGCGAUCAUUACUCAGUUCACAAUGCUGCCAGUGACAAUAGUGCUCUGUAGUUUGGUCUUGGGGGCGCACCUAAUCUUGGUACUAGGCCUUAAGAACGAUCUUGAGGGAGGCGCUAAUAACGUUUUAGUUGAAUCGGAUGAAUGCAAAGAAGAUGAUUGCCCUUGUGCGACCUCCAGCUUAGGUUGUCCUGCGGUGGUUCGUGCUUUACCCUGUAAACAAAUCGAUGCUGUCAACUAAAGAGUGAAUAAAAUACAGAUUGCAAUUAAAUAAAACCAAAA